AUUGAACGCUGGCGGCAGGCCUAACACAUGCAAGUCGAGCGCGAAAGUCUUCGGAUGAGUAAAGCGGCGAACGGGUGAGUAAUGCACGGGAAUCUGCCUGGUAGUGGGGGACAACGUCUCGAAAGGGACGCUAAUACCGCAUACGCCCUACGGGGAAAGGGGGGAGUCUUCGGACCUCUCGCUAUCAGAUGAGCCCAUGUCAGAUUAGCUAGUUGGUGAGGUAAAGGCUCACCAAGGCGACGAUCUGUAACUGGUCUGAGAGGAUGAUCAGUCACACUGGAACUGAGACACGGUCCAGACUCCUACGGGAGCAGCAGUGGGGAAUAAUUGGACAAUGGGGGGCAACCCUGAUCCAGCCAUGCCGCGUGUGUGAAGAA
rnacentral:rRNA from 1 species